AAGUCAUAACAAGGUUACUGUAGGUGAACCUGCAGUAGGAUCAUUAUUGAAAAAUAGGGCUUUCCCAUUCUUUGGGGCCCGAACCUUCACAUAAUUUCCACACACUUGUGAAUCGUUGGAGCGUUGAUCAGAAGAUUGUGCUUUUUGUAAGCCCUUUUGGAAGAGAGACGCUCUGGCACCGAAUCAUUACAAACACUGAGUUAAUGGAUGUAGUUGUAAACUUGUCUUUUGACAGAAACAAAAAUACAACUUUCGACAACGGAUCUCUUGGUUCUCC
rnacentral:misc_RNA from 1 species